AUUGUUUACCAAAAAACACAGGUCCCUUCAAAAUCGUCAAACCAUGCAUUGGGACUGAUUCCUACCAAGUGCCUGAAGGUCAAACAAGUCGGUGACUUGAUAACAAGGGAGACAACAACCGAAACUUGGUAAAUGACGAUCGUAACUAUAACGAUCAUAAGAUAGCAAAAUUCCUUAUCAAGUAAAUUCCAGCUCACGAAAAAGGCAUAA
rnacentral:rRNA from 1 species